rnacentral:rRNA from 1 species
CGGCUGCUAAUACCGCAUGACAUAUUUUGAGGCAUCUCCGGGAUAUCAAAGGAGCAAUCCGCUGAAAGAUGGGCUCACAUCUGAUUAGCUGGUUGGCGGGGUAACGGCCCACCAAGGCAUCGAUCAGUAGCCGGACUGAGAGGUUGAACGGCCACAUUGGGACUGAGAUACGGCCCAGACUCCUACGGGAGGCAGCAGUGGGGAAUAUUGGGCAAUGGGCGAAAGCCUGACCCAGCAACGCCGCGUGAAGGAAGAAGGUCUUCGGAUUGUAAACUUCUUUUAUGAGGGACGAAGGACGUGACGGUACCUCAUGAAUAAGCCACGGCUAACUACGUGCCAGCAGCCGCGGUAAUACGUAGGUGGCAAGCGUUAUCCGGAUUUACUGGGUGUAAGGGCGCGUAGGCGGGGAUGCAAGUCAGGUGUGAAAUCUAUGGGCUUAACCCAUAAACUGCAUUUGAAACUGUAUCUCUUGAGUGCUGGAGAGGUAGACGGAAUUCCUUGUGUAGCGGUGAAAAGCGUAGAUAUAAGGAAGAACACCAGUGGCGAAGGCGGUCUACUGGACAGUAACUGACGCUGAGGCGCGAAAGCGCGGGGAGCAAACAGGAUUAGAUACCCUGGUAGUCCACGCUGUAAACGAAGAAUACUAGGUGUGGGGUGACUAACCCACUCCGUGCCGCAGUUAACACAAUAAGUAUUCCACCUGGGGAGUACGGCCGCAAGGUUGAAACUCAAAGGAAUUGACGGGGGCCCGCACAAGCAGUGGAUUAUGUGGUUUAAUUCGAAGCAACGCGAAGAACCUUACCAGGGCUUGACAUCCAACUAACGAAGCAGAGAUGCAUUAGGUGCCCUUCGGGGAAAGUUGAGACAGGUGGUGCAUGGUUGUCGUCAGCUCGUGUCGUGAGAUGUUGGGUUAAGUCCCGCAACGAGCGCAACCCCUAUUGUUAGUUGCUACGAAAGAGCACUCUAGCGAGACUGCCGUUGACAAAACGGAGGAAGGCGGGGACGACGUCAAAUCAUCAUGCCCCUUAUGUCCUGGGCUACACACGUAAUACAAUGGUGGUAAACAGAGGGAAGCAAAGCCGCGAGGCGGAGCAAAUCCCUAAAAGCCAUCUCAGUUCGGAUUGCAGGCUGCAACUCGCCUGCAUGAAGCUGGAAUUGCUAGUAAUCGCGGAUCAGCAUGCCGCGGUGAAUACAUUCCCGGGCCUUGCACAC